rnacentral:lncRNA from 1 species
UGCACUUUAAGAAGGUAUUUAUAUAAAUUAGUAUCCCAUUAGAAUAACAAUUUACACAUUUUGGAUUUAAAAUAUUACUUGAGGGUGUAAGUGCAGCUAAUAAAAAUCAUUAAAACGUUUGUUUGUUUUUUACCACUAAAACACAUUUUUAAAUGCCAUAUAACAUUUUUAGUCACCUGGUAGAGAAAAAAAAAUAGGCUGUGAGGGAUAUGAGUAAAAAUUUCAACCCCAUAGAAAAUGUACAAGCCAUAAAAAUUGGAGGUAAAUAUCUGAGUUAUAACCAGAUCAGGGCUGUCACCUGGUAGAGAGAAAAAAAUAGGCUGUGAGGGAUAUGAGUAAAAAUUUCAAACCCGUAGAAAAUAUACAAGCCCUAAAAAUUGGAGGUAAAUAUCUGAGUUAUAACCAGAUCAGGGCUUCUUAAUAUAAUACAAUUACAAAAGAUACUGGCAAUGCACCUGAGCCACAUCGCUUAAUAUUAAUAUACAUUAACCAUUCUCUUGUCAAUAUGUAGCUCAAAUACAGUGCAGCAAUAAACAUCAUAUAAAAAAGAAAACACAUCAAAAAAGAAAAAACAUAUAUCAAGUAGAUAUUAAUAACUGUCCUGUAGUUAUAUCUCUGGAAAUAAACUUGAAACAGGAAGCAUAAGUCAUUAUAUUUCUGGAAAAGUCACAGCUGCUGCAGAGCAUCUUGAAACAGUCUCAAAUAAGGAUUACAAAAUACUCAUAAUCCAGCAGGAAGUCUUCAUCAUACAUACACAAUGGGUCACAAUUUAAGUCUUCUUUCUUUGUUUCUUUGGAAUUUUUGUCUCUGCAACAUCUUUUAUAGUCCAUGUCGUUAGGAUUCCCUGUCCCUCCUAUGGAGUAUAAAUUGUAAAACUUUUUCCCUCAUGACGUACAGGAGUUUUACAGAAAAUCCCCACCUGUAUCUAACAUUAUUGGCCAUUAAUUUCCUGUAUGAUCAGAGAACUCAUUCGGCGGAUCACAUUAGUUGGAGUUUUGGCUGGUAAUUCGCCCUCCAAUUUAUCCCAGUCACUUAAAUUCGACGUCGAAGUAUUUUUCACACUCUUCACUGCCUCGAUUACACGGCUACAUGCCAGAACAGUUUUGCCAUAAGAUUUAGGCUCUGGACCAAGUCUCUUGAUUCUCUAUGAUGGCUGCAUAUUUUACAAGUUAGCAGUUCACAAAAUAAAAUUAAUUUUUUUUUUUUUUUUAAGCUUAGGUCUGUUCAGAGCUCAUUCAGUUUGUGGUAAUCAUGGUUGCCAGCCAAGCCAUGCCCCCUUACCCCAUUCCCCACUGGUUUUCUGACAGCUACCUGUUCUUUCCAAUAUUUCUUUUACGGGCAACAAUCAUGCUGCCUUAAAAGAAAGCCUACCUACUGAGCUGUGAAAGUCUGUUAGCAUUAGGGGUGGAGUUGGUAGAGCUCUUCUUCCCCUAGUGCAGCCUCCAUUUUGACACCAUGCCUGCUGGGUUGUUUAUAGGGACACUAUAGACAUUACAACAACUUUAGCUUAAUGAAGCAGUUUUUGUGUAUCGAUCAUGCCCUAUCCAGUUUCACUGCUCAAUUCUCUGCUAUUUAGGAAUACUUUACUUUUGCAUUUGAUUAUCAAGCCCUAGCCACACCUCCCCUGGCUGUGACUGACACAGCCUGCAUGACAAAAAUGGUUUAAUUUUCACUCAAAUGUUAACUUGCUUUAGAAAUUCCUGCUCUUUAAGUUGGAUUUAGAUAGACUGGGGGACUGGGCACUCAAAUGGCAGAUGAAAUUUAAUGUUGAAAAAUGCAAAGUUAUGCACUUGGGCGUAAAGAAUACACAAGCAACGUAUACCCUUAUUGGAAGCGAAUUAGGGAUAACAACACAUGAAAAGGACUUGGGAAUUGUUAUAGACAACAUACUAUGCAACAAUGUGCAAUGUCAAUCAGCAGUGGCCAAGGCCAGUAAGGUAUUGUAAUGCAUGAAAAAGGGCAUUCAUUCUCGGGACAAGAAUAUAAUUUUGCCUCUUUAUAAAUCACUUGAAAGACCCCAUAUUGAAUAUGCUGUGCAAUUUUGGGCACCUGUUCUAAAGAAGGAUAUCAUGGCACUAGAAAAAGUGCAGAGGCGGGCUACAAAAUUAAUAAAAGGAAUGGAACAUAUCGGCUAUGAAGAAAGGUUAACAAAUUUAAACCUAUUUAGUUUAGAAAAACGUCGCCUGAGAGGGGAUAUGAUAACAUUAUACAAAUAUAUUCGGGGCCAAUACAAACCAUUGUGUGGAAAUCUAUUCACAAACCGGACUUUACAUAGGACACGAGGCCAUGCGUUUAGACUGGAAGAAAGAAGAUUUCGUCUAAGGCAAAGGAAAGGUUUUUUUACUGUAAGAACAAUCAGGAUGUGGAAUUAUCUGCCUGAAGAAGUGGUUUUAUCAGAGUCCAUACAGAUGUUCAAACGGCUAAUAGAUGCAUACUUGCAAGAACAGAAUAUCCAAGGAUAUAAUCUUUCAAUCUAGGGUAAUAACUGCUUGAUCCAAGGAUAAAUCUGACUGCCAUUCUGGGGUCAAGAAGGAAUUUUUUUCCUAGCUUGUUGCAAAAUUGUGCUUCAAACUAUUUUUUUUUUGCCUUCUUUUGGAUCAACAGCAAAAAACAAAUGUGAGGUAGGCUGAACUUGAUGGACGCAAGUCUCUUUUCAGCUAUGUAACUAUGUAACUUUAAUCACACAUAGGAGGCUUCUGUGGGGUCUAGAGGACUGUUUACGGAGCAGGAGAUAAGAAAUUCUAAUUUAGAUGGUGCAAUAAAAAGAGUUUAAACAUUAAAUGUCCAUUUAGAGGAAGUGUUUGGAAGGCUGUGCAAGUAACAUGCAAGAAGGUGUGACUAGGACUGUAAUAAAAAGUGAUUUAAUAUCUAAAUGACAGAGAACUCAACCUCUGCUCCUCCCUGGUACACUCACAUGCGCUGUGGUUGCUAUGGGUCUAGAGCAGUGGGACCUCCUGCGGGAGGUCUCAUCUGCUCUCCCAGUCAAUCAAAUCCUCGGCAGUGAGUGUUUGUCGAGGAAUUGAGAUAAAUAUGGGAAAAAAACUGACAAAACUGCCAGCAUAAUGUAUAGAUCGAAUUUUGUGCUCUUUUCAAAUAAUGUUGGUUUGGUGCGUUAAACGUACCCUUUAAUAUAUAUAUUGAAAGUAACCAUAUUAAGUGGGCAAAGUCCAACAGGUUAGGGGCAAAUUUUACAGAGAGGGACAGGAUCAAAUUAGGGUUGGAGCUUAAUGACCCACCAUCUGAAAACGUCGCCAGCUGCCACCGGUAAAAAUCCAACAUGUGAGUUAUUACCUGUUGGGAUCCAAUCAAUAUUGAUAUGUAUGUUCCUUUAAGCAUGUUUGUGGCAUAGUGUACAUGUGUAUAUGUUUUAAUCGAUUUUAUUAUAUUUAG